GAACAUGGCCAUACAGCUCGGAAAACACACAACAACCCUGUGAUCCCGGCCAUGAAAGCCUUUGACAACACAAACAUAUUUAUGUUUAUUUCUUUAAGAUUUGCAGACUGAGGUAGAAAUAGCAUGCAAAAGUGUCAUGGAUCAGAAAUUAGCAGAUGAGAUUAUCAUUAAUGGGUUGCUGUCUGGCUGCUGCUGCCUCAUAGCUUUUUCCCAUGAUACUCUGGGACUGGAAGGCAUAUGUGGUACAUAGGUAUCUUGCAGAAACAUAUGUCUCCAUCUGGAUCUGGACAUUUAUGUAGUCUCUCAUCACUAAACAUCACACAAAAGGUCUCAUAAUGCUACUAGCUGAUAGGAAGUCUUCUGUAUGUUGUGAGGACAAUUGAGGAGAACUUAAAUUUAAACCUGCUUUCUUGCCUCACGUUUGCAGUAAAAUGUAAUGUACUUUUGUAUCUUUUGAAUAAGAAUACUUUUUAACAACUUGAUUCAGCAUAGCCCAGGAGCCUAAAAGAUGUAAGAACGAAUUCUUCCUACAAAACAGGAUUUACUUUUACUUUGACUUCUUCUUUCCUGGUUUUGUCUUAACUUGUGAAAUGCUCAUGGUCAACUGAAGUGCUGAUCUCAUGUGUAUUAUUUUUGAAGGAGAUAUAAUGAAAACUGGUCUGGGUUAGUGGUAAAUCAUAAUUUCUAUCUGGGUUUAGGACUGGUAAACAAAACAAUAAAGGCAGCAGCAGUGAAUGGACUUCCACACUGAAUGAUCGGAGCCAGGUGCCAUUAUUCCUUUGUUCAAUGUAUUACUAAUACUCGACUACACACUUUUUCAAAUUGAUGGGGACACAGCUUUGAGACAAAAAAGAAAACCUUCAAAAAGGGCAAUAAGGAGAGCACCAUGAUCAUUUAUAUUAAAAAUUGUCAUUAUAUAUGAGACUUCAUGUACUAUCAAACAUUUAGAGCAGCUGUGUCCAACUUUCCAGCCCCUGGAAACCACCCAAAACAAAAAUUAAAAUACUUCCAGUGUAGUUUUGCCAAUGGCAUGACAAACUGAUUAAGUUGCCAUUGGUCAGUAAAUGCAACAACUCCACUUCUUGUCAGCAGCUCAUACAUUUUCUUUUCAAUCCAGGAAUUUAGAAAAAAAUUAAGCAGCUAGUAGAAGCGCCUAUAAAAGGGCGUCACUGAGCCUCGCCAAAAUCCUGCCAUCUCAUUAUGAUUAAUGGGGAGGUCCUGGACUGUUCAAAUUACAUUAUUUGAGAGCAGUGUUCUUAUGUCUGAACUUUAACUCUGUACCUUUGUCAAUGGGUACACAGAAAAGGAGAAAGCUUACACUGGCAUUAAUACUCCCACAGAGAACGGCCAUAACUAAAGGAUCCACUUUGGAUGCAGCAGAUCUCUACCAUCUAUUGUUAUAGCAAGAAACAAAUCAAGCAUGAAACCUGGAAAGCUGCUGCCUGUCGCUGUCAACAGUACCUGACCAAAAGGAUUUACGGUCUGGUUGGGUUUAAGAGAAGGUCCCAUGUGGUUGCAUACCUUACAUUCAGAGAAUUCGAGAACUGCAUUUUUGCAUUGUAUCUGGAUGAUUUGGUUUAGGGUGGUAUUGUAUUGGUUUGCGGUUUUAUUAUUUCUUUACUCUCUGUGUGUCUCUGUAUAUAAAUAAAAUCUAGAUUGAAUGCCUUCAGCAGGA